rnacentral:rRNA from 1 species
UGGGGAAUUUUGGACAAUGGGCGAAAGCCUGAUCCAGCAAUGCCGCGUGUGUGAAGAAGGCCUUCGGGUUGUAAAGCACUUUUGUCCGGAAAGAAAUCCUUGGCUCUAAUACAGUCGGGGGAUGACGGUACCGGAAGAAUAAGCACCGGCUAACUACGUGCCAGCAGCCGCGGUAAUACGUAGGGUGCAAGCGUUAAUCGGAAUUACUGGGCGUAAAGCGUGCGCAGGCGGUUUGCUAAGACCGAUGUGAAAUCCCCGGGCUCAACCUGGGAACUGCAUUGGUGACUGGCAGGCUAGAGUAUGGCAGAGGGGGGUAGAAUUCCACGUGUAGCAGUGAAAUGCGUAGAGAUGUGGAGGAAUACCGAUGGCGAAGGCAGCCCCCUGGGCCAAUACUGACGCUCAUGCACGAAAGCGUGGGGGAGCAAACAGGAUUAGAUACCCCUGGGUAGUCCACGCCCUAAAACGAUGUCAACUAGUUGUUGGGGGAUUCAUUUCCUUAGUAACGUAGCUAACGCGUGAAGUUGACCGCCUGGGGAGUACGGUCGCAAGAUUAAAACUCAAAGGAAUUG